GUAGGAUAAGACCAUCAACAGAAAAUUUACAGAAUUCAAAUUCAGGAUGAAUAAAAUAGAGUAUAGGUCUUGGAACAAGGGUCAAAUCAUUAUUUCAUGGUUCUAUCAAAGCAGCAGUAAAAAAAAUACUCUUGACGCAUGAAAAUUAACUGUUCUUUUCCCUGGUUCAGCCUGAACUAUAUACCAGGCCCUGCUGAAAAUACCACCCAACAGUUUUCUUCUGCAGC